UUAAGCAAUGAGUGAAAAGAUAAAUUUAUGUACUUAAUUUUCAAUGGUGUUUUGUGCAAAGCUAUUGUUUAGAAUUUGAUUCGUUUUAAUCUAUUAACUGCUUACGCCUGCAUUGGGGCCCGAGCUUUACAAAGCUCGUAAGUCGAAUCAGAGAAAUAAUUUUAUCCUGAAACGUUUACAGAUACAUAUUUGUUUCAGGGACCCAUUUCAACCGCCGUAAGUCGUUUCGAGAAAUGUAAAGGACCAAGAAGAAGUGACUGCUCCGACGUGAAUCUUGAUUUGAACAACGGAAUCUCCAUCACGUAUGAUAUCUUGGUCAAAUCAUACAUCAAACUCACAACUGGUCGAAUUGUUGCAGUUUCAAACGGUAAAGAAAUGAUGAGAUUUCAGAUGAAAACGCCAUGCGAUCACUAUCUAGUUCAAUCUUUAUUCAAAAUUUAUUUAAAUGUAUCAAAAGAAUGUGCCGUUAAAAAGGGACAUUAUGUUUUCAAAAUAGAUGUUCAAGAUCUAUCGCAGAAGUACUUCAAUGGAAAUUAUUUUUACGGGAACUGGACUUUUCGUACAGUCUUCGCCGGCAGUGAAUGCAAUUUUUUGUGUGCAAUUCUGGAAGUGAUAAUGUCACCGAAAAAGGUCUAGUCUAAGUAUAUAAAAAUAUGUUUGAUUAAAAAUAUUUUCAAUGAGAUGAAACGCUACCGUUCAUUAAAUAAUUCGUUACGCCACAAAUAUUUUUUUGUAAAAAUAAUGGUUAAUGAUUUUCGGAAAUAAAAUAGCUAAAAUUUACAGUACUUACUUUAAACUGUUUAAGAUUAAUUUUAUGACUACCACAAACAUUAUGUAAGUCUUAUUCCAGUCAUUAUUUGGAAUGCAACUUUUAAAACACUUCUAAAAAUACUAUAACAUUUAAUACAUACAUAAUUAUACUUUUUUCGUCAUUGAUUGUUCUACUUAAUGAAUUCUAAUAAAUGACAUUUUAAAGAAA